GAUGAACGCUGGCGGCGUGCCUAAUACAUGCAAGUCGAGCGAACAGACGAGGAGCUUGCUCCUCUGACGUUAGCGGCGGACGGGUGAGUAACACGUGGAUAACCUACCUAUAAGACUGGGAUAACUUCGGGAAACCGGAGCUAAUACCGGAUAAUAUAUUGAACCGCAUGGUUCAAUAGUGAAAGACGGUUUUGCUGUCACUUAUAGAUGGAUCCGCGCCGCAUUAGCUAGUUGGUAAGGUAACGGCUUACCAAGGCAACGAUGCGUAGCCGACCUGAGAGGGUGAUCGGCCACACUGGAACUGAGACACGGUCCAGACUCCUACGGGAGGCAGCAGUAGGGAAUCUUCCGCAAUGGGCGGAAGCCUGACGGAGCAACGCCGCGUGAGUGAUGAAGGUCUUCGGAGCGUAAAACUCUGUUAUUAGGGAAGAACAAAUGUGUAAGUAACUAUGCACGUCUUGACGGUACCUAAUCAGAAAGCCACGGCUAACUACGUG
rnacentral:rRNA from 1 species